rnacentral:rRNA from 1 species
GACGAACGCUGGCGGCGUGCUUAACACAUGCAAGUCGAACGGAAAGGCCCUGCUUUUGUGGGGUGCUCGAGUGGCGAACGGGUGAGUAACACGUGAGUAACCUGCCCUUGACUUUGGGAUAACUUCAGGAAACUGGGGCUAAUACCGGAUAGGAGCUCCUGCUGCAUGGUUGGGGUUGGAAAGUUUCGGCGGUUGGGGAUGGACUCGCGGCUUAUCAGCUUGUUGGUGGGGUAGUGGCUUACCAAGGCUUUGACGGGUAGCCGGCCUGAGAGGGUGACCGGCCACAUUGGGACUGAGAUACGGCCCAGACUCCUACGGGAGGCAGCAGUGGGGAAUAUUGCACAAUGGGCGGAAGCCUGAUGCAGCAACGCCGCGUGCUGGAUGACGGCCUUAGGGUUGUAAACCGCUUUCGCCUGUGACGAAGCGUGAGUGACGGUAAUGUGUAAAGAAGCACCGGCUAACUACGUG